rnacentral:lncRNA from 1 species
CAGGUACACCUCCAAUUGACUCAAAUGAUGUCAAUUAGUCUAUCAGAAGCUUCUAAAGCCAUGACACAAUUGUCUGGAAUUUUCCAAGAUGUUAAAAGACACAGUCAACUUAGUGUAUGUAAACUUCUGACCUACUGGAAUUGUGAUUAGGUGAAAUAAUCUGUCUGUAAACAAUUGUUGGAAAAAUGACUUGUGUCAUGCACAAAGUAGAUGUCCUAACCGACUUGCCAAAACUAUAGUUUGUAAACAAGAAAUUUGUGGAGUGGUUGAAAAACGAGUUUUAAUGACUCCAACCUAAGUGUAUGUAAACUUCAGACUUCAACUGUAUGUUUUGGGAUUCAUCCGAUAACAUUGUUUACCACAGUCACCAUCUUCAUUAAGUGCAUUGAUGACAUCGUCAGUGCAUUUGGAAAGUAUUCGGAUCCCCUUGACUUUUCCACAUUUUGUUACGUUACAGCCUUAUUCUAAAAUGGACUAAAUUGUUUUUUUCCCCUCAAUCUAUACACAAUAUCCCACAAUGACAAAGCAAAAAUAGGUUUUUUGAAAUCUUUGCAAAUGUAUUAAAAAUACAGAACUGAAAUAUAACAUUUACAUAAGUAUUCAGACCCUAUACUAUACCCUAGUACUUUGUUGAAGCACCUUUGGCAGCGACUGCAGCACCGAGUAUUCUUGGGUAUGACGCUACAAGCUUGGCACACCUGUAUUUGGGGAGUUUCUCCCAUUCUUCUCUGCAGAUCCUCAAGCUCUGUCAGGUUGGAUGGGGAGUGUCGCUGCACAUCUAUUUUCAGGUCUCUCCAGAGAUGUUCAAGUCCGGGCUCUGGCUGGGCCACUCAAGGACAUUCAGAGACUCCUAUGUUGUCUUGGCUGUGUUGUUGUCCUGUUGGAAGGUGAACCUUUUCCCUAGUCUGGGGUCCUGAACGCUCUGGAGCAGGUUUUCAUCUAGGAUCUCUCUGUACUUUGCUCCGUUCAUCUUUCUCUCGACCCUGACUAGUCUCCCAGUCCCUUCUGCUGGAAAACAUCCCCACAACAUGAUACUGCCACCACCAUGCUUCACCGUAGGGAUGGUGCCAGGUUUCCCCCACCAUGCUUCACCGUAGGGAUGGUGCCAGGUUUCCUCCAGACGUAACGCUUGGCAUUCAGGACAAAGAGUUCAAUCUUGGUUUCAUCAGACCAGGGAAUCUUGUUUCUCAUGGUCUUAGUCCUUUUAGGUGCCUUUUGGAAAACUCCAAGCGGGCUGUCGUGUGCCUUUUACUGAGGAGUGGCUUCCGUCUGGCCACUCUACCAUAAGUUUUCUCUUUGUCAUUAUGGGGUAUUGCAUGUAGAUUGAUGAGGGGGAAAAAAAUGAUAUAAUCCAUUUUAGAUUAAGGCUGUAACGUAACAAAAUGUGGAAAAAGUCAACGGGGUCUGAAUACUUCCUGAAUGUACUACAUGGCUACCUCAAUUACCUGUCAUUGGUAUUUGCUGUGAAAUGUAUUCCUUGUGUCACUUUAUUUUUUUUAUUUUUUUUUACUUUGCUUUGUUAGAAAAGGAC